AACGCACAUUGCGCCCUUUGGCAUUCCGAGGGGCAUGCCCGUUCGAGCGUCAUUACACCACUCAAGCCUCGCUUGGUAUUGGGCGGUCGGGACUCCCCCCCUCAGCGGGGGCCCCGCGCCUCCAUGUGCACCGGCUGGACGGUUGGAAUCUCAGCGUUGUGGAACACCAAUCCGCUGUGGGACCGGCCCGGACGUCGCCGCGAAACACCCCCAUCACAGGUUGACCUCGGAUCGGGUAGGGAUACCCGCUGAACUUAA
rnacentral:misc_RNA from 1 species